rfam:Stegodyphus mimosarum contig11379, whole genome shotgun sequence.
GCCUUCGUGGUGUAGUGGUCUGCACGAUCGACGCGUAACCGAGAGAUCCGUGGUUCGAUUCCCGGCGAAGGCG